GAUCCGGUGGCCUAGUGGUUAGAGCGUCAGCCCCAGAAGCGUGCGGUCGUGGGUUCUAUCCCCGGAUGAGUCA